GAUGAACGCUGGCGGCGUGCCUAAUACAUGCAAGUCGAGCGAACGGACGCGAAGCUUGCUUCUUUGAUGUUAGCGGCGGAGGUGAGAGUAACACGUGGAUACCCUACCUAUAAGUCUGGGAAAACUUCGAGACACCGGAGCUAAUCCCGUAUAAUCUUCUGAACCGCGUGGUUGGAAAGUGAAAGACGGUCUUGCUGUCACUUAUAGAUGGAUAUGCGCUGCAUUAGCUAGUUGGUAAGGUAACGGCUUACCACGGCAACGAUGCAUAGCCGACCUGAUAGGCUGAUCGGCCGCACUGGAGCUUAGACACGGUCCAGGCUCCUACGGGAGGCAGCAGUAGGGAAUCUGCCGCAAUGGGCGAAAGCCUUACGGAGCAACGCCGCGUGAGUUAUGAAGGUCUUCGGAUCGUAAUACUCUGUUAUUAGUGAAGAACAGAUUUGGAAGUAACUGAGCACUUCUUGACGGUACCUAAUAAGAAAGCCACGGCUAACUACGUG
rnacentral:rRNA from 1 species